rnacentral:rRNA from 1 species
GACGAACGCUGGCGGCGUGCUUAACACAUGCAAGUCGAACGGAAAGGCCCGGCUUUUGUUGUGGACUCGAGUGGCGAACGGGUGGAUAACAUGUGAGUAACCUGCCCUUGAUUUUGGGAUAAUGUCAGUAAACUGGGGCUAAUACCUGAUAUUAGCGCCUGGUGCGCAGGGUGGGUUGUAAAGUGUCGGCCGUUGGUGAUGGAGUUGGGGCUUAUCUGCUUGUCUGUGGGGUAGUGGGUUACGUAGUCGUUGACGGGGGGCCGGCCGGAGAGGGUGGACGGCGACAUGGGGCAUAGUACAAGGCCCAGACUCCGAGGGGAGGCAGCAGUGGGGAAUAGUGCACAAUGGGCGGAAGCCUGAGGGGGCAACGCCGGGUGCGGGAUGACGGACUUCGGGCUGUAACCCGCUUUCGACUGGGACGAAGCGUGAGUGACGGUAAUGGGUAAAGAAGCACCGGCUAACUACGUG